rnacentral:rRNA from 1 species
GACGAACGCUGGCGGCGUGCUUAACACAUGCAAGUCGAACGGAAAGGCCCCUUCGGGGGUCCUCGAGUGGCGAACGGGUGAGUAACACGUGAGUAACCUGCCCUUGACUUCGGGAUAACUUCAGGAAACUGGGGCUAAUACCGGAUAGGAAUCCUUGCUGCAUGGUGGGGGUUGGAAAGCUUCGGCGGUUUUGGAUGGACUCGCGGCUUAUCAGCUUGUUGGUGGGGUAGUGGCUUACCAAGGCUUUGACGGGUAGCCGGCCUGAGAGGGCGACCGGCCACAUUGGGACUGAGAUACGGCCCAGACGCCUACGGGAGGCAGCAGUGGGGAAUAUUGCACAAGGGGCGGAAGCCUGAUGCAGCAACGCCGCGGGCGGGAUGACGGCCUUCGGGUUGUAAACCGCUUUCAGCAGGGGCGAAGCUUGUGGUGACGGUACCUGCAGAAGAAGCACCGGCUAACUACGUG